UACGUAGGGGGCAAGCGUUGUCCGGAAUCAUUGGGCGUAAAGAGCGCGUAGGCGGCCCAGUAAGUCCGCUCUGAAAGUCAGAGGCUCAACCUCUGGAUGCGGGUGGAUACUGCUGGGCUAGAGUCCGGAAGAGGCGAGUGGAAUUCCUGGUGUAGCGGUGAAAUGCGCAGAUAUCAGGAGGAACACCGAUGGCGAAGGCAGCUCGCUGGGACGGUACUGAUGCUGAGGCGCGAAAGCGUGGGGAGCAAACAGG
rnacentral:rRNA from 1 species